rnacentral:rRNA from 1 species
AUUGAACGCUGGCGGCAGGCCUAACACAUGCAAGUCGAGCGGAUGAGGGAAGCUUGCUUCCCGAUUUAGCGGCGGACGGGUGAGUAAUGCCUAGGAAUCUGCCUAUUAGUGGGGGAUAACGUUCCGAAAGGAACGCUAAUACCGCAUACGUCCUACGGGAGAAAGUGGGGGAUCUUCGGACCUCACGCUAAUAGAUGAGCCUAGGUCGGAUUAGCUAGUUGGUGAGGUAACGGCUCACCAAGGCGACGAUCCGUAGCUGGUCUGAGAGGAUGCUCAGCCACACUGGAACUGAGACACGGUCCAGACGCCUACGGGAAGCAGCAGUGGGGAAUAUUGGACAAUGGGCGAAAGCCUGAUCCAGCCAUGCCGCGUGUGUGAAGAAGGUCUUCGGAUUGUAAAGCACUUUAAGUUGGGAGGAAGAGUUGUAAGCUAAUAUCUUGCAGCUUUGACGUUACCAACAGAAUAAGCACCGGCUAACUCUGUGCCAGCAGCCGCCGUAACAC